GGGGGUGACUUGGCUUCGACAGGAGCUGGAUGGUCAUGGUCGCAUGUCGCUUUGGGCAAAGCGUAAAAAGCCUAAAAUUAAAAUUAAACGCAAACAACGUUAACUUUGCUCCUGCUUACGCUAAAGCUGCGUAAGUUCAGUUGAGCCUCGCUAAUAGCCCAUACUAUCUAAGCUAAAAGGCGAGUAAUCAAAGAUAGUGUAGCCUGCUACUGUGGCGAAGUGGCGAGUGAAACUUAGCCUGUGGGUUUUUGUAGCGCCUUUGGAAAGUGAGCGUAAAAACUCAAGAUAAUCACUUUUGCUAAGCAUGUAGAAGCUGCGGUUGUUCGGUUUUUGGACUGCGGUUCGAUCCCGCACACCUCCACCA
rnacentral:tmRNA from 1 species